rnacentral:misc_RNA from 1 species
CUGCCCUCAAGCACGGCUUGUGUGUUGGGCCUCCGUCCCCCGGGUGGGGGACGGGCCCGAAAGGCAGCGGCGGCACCGUGUCCGGUCCUCGAGCGUAUGGGGCUUUGUCACCCGCUCUGUAGGCCCGGCCGGCGCCUGCCGACCCUCAUCAUCCUUUUUUCA